UGGUGUAUUUCUUAAAUUAGCUUCACAAAUCUUAUUAUCUUAUUCUGGGGAGAUGUUCUGAAAGUUGCUGUAUAUGUUUUAAAUUAGAUGUCAUAAAAAUAUGUUACUAGCACUCCAUAUAAGAUAUGAGAGGGCAAAAGGUAGAUUGUCCAACUUAUGUGAAAAGAGUUGAUGUACAUAAGUUUGUGCUGGAUCAGGUUUUGUAUAAGUUUAUAGAUUAUCCUA
rnacentral:lncRNA from 1 species